rnacentral:lncRNA from 1 species
UAUGUAUAUCUGUGGACUCUGUCUGAUCAACUGUGUCAUUUGAAGCUGAUAUUUCAUUGUAAUGUAUCUUUGGGUAGAUCUUUUUGAAAUUACCCUAUUUCUUGUAUUUAUAGUUCCAUGUGUUUCAUCAACUUCAUGAUAUUCUUGGGCAUUAUUUCUUCAAAUAAUCUUUUCUAACCCCCCCCCACCUUCUCUCUUUCUUCUCUUUCUGGACUAUGUAAUUGGCAUGUUGGUUCACUUGAUGAUGUUACACAAGUCUCUUGGGCUCUUUCACGUCUAUUUCUUUCUUUUUUCUGUUCUUCAACCUCACUUUCAGUUGUCCUAUCUUCAGUUUUGCUUUUAAUAAUUUCUACCUCUUUGUUGAUAUUCUAUUUUUUUCAUAUAUCAGCUUCCUAAUUUCCUUUGCCCACAUCUUUGCCUAAUUUCUAUGCCCACAUCUUUCCUUAGUUCUUUGAACAUAUUUAAGACAAUUAUUUUAAAGUGCUUGUGUAGUAAGUCUGAUGUCAGAAAUUUUUCAGAGACAACUGCUGUUCAUUUAUAUUGUUCCUUUGAAUGAGCUAUAUUUUUCUAUUUCUUUGUAUGCUUUGUAAUUUUUUUGCUGUAAAAAUUGGGCAUUUGAUGAUGAUAAUUUGUAAUUAGAUUUUCCUCCUCCCCCAAGAUUUGGUCAUUUUUUGAAUUGUUGAAUGCUGUAGUUGUUCAUUUACUUUGAGACUUUUCCAAACUUUUUUUGCACAGACUACUUGUAAUAUGUAAUUGCUGAAGUAUAUUCUAUUAGCUUGUGUGCAGCUAAUGUUUUGACAUAAAUUUACUUGAAUGCCAAGAUCUGAAUCAAACAAAAUAACAAAUAAAUGCCAGAAAACAAAAAAGAGAGAAUAAUCAUCUUUCUCAGCCUUUGUAAGCUAGGAAAUUUCCUCCCUGCCUUUCUAGGCUUGUUCUGAACCCAGAGACCAACCUGAGGUGAAAGGUUAAAGUCUUCUCCAGACUAUUGUGAGCAUACAUCUUGCCUAGGCAUAUGUGAUUUUUACAAUGCUCUGUAUCUAGCUGCUUUUGAAUGUCCUAAUUUUCUGAAGAGUCUCACUCCAGUUUUUCCCUCUAGGCCUUAGAUGGUCUAUUAUACAUCGCUGCCUAUAUAAUCUUUUGCCCUAAGCACCUGCAGGUUUGUAGUCUGCCUUGUAACUUUAACUGCCCGUUUUUCCUACCCUGUUUUUCCUAGUUCUACUUAAUGAGUGCCUUACAUCAGUACUUUAGGUAUCUCUCAGAGAGUUCCUAUAGAAAUUAUAGUCUACAAUGAACUAUUCAGCACUUAUUUAGUCAAUAUAUAUAUUUCCUUGACCUGUUUCCCAAAGGAUUUGUGAUACCUUAUUAGCUAAGUCAAAGUACAGGAUAAAACAUGUAAUAUGAAUUUAAACACAGUGAAAACUGAAAGAAGAAAUUUUAGUGACUAGAAUGAAACAGAUUAUAACACUCAGAUAGUGUAAUUGCCUUUGGUUUCCUGGAAGUACAUGCAAAAGUUAUUCUGUAACAGAGCUGGUAGUUUCUCACAAAAACGUAAAUAAUUAAUUUUUUUUUCUGAAAUGAAAUCCAAGCAAGAAUAUGAUGUAAGUAUUCAUGCAUAAGGGACAUUAAUAAAUCAUAGAAUACCUUUGCUCAUCAUUUCUCAAAAGUUUAAAGAAGCGCUAUUUCAACGAGUGAGUCUUGGAAAGAACCCACUCAUUGGGUACAUGGAGGAGAUACUAUUAUAAUUCAGUGAAGGAAUUUCUGGGAUAAGCUGAGGUAACAACUGCAGGAAACAGAAACUCAAGCAAAACUUUGUUUUAAAUAAGCUUUACUUGGUGACCUAGAAGUACAAACCUAGGGCUGGUCCCCAGGUUUCUCUUUCUGAAGCUGUCCAUGGACCCUGGAUUCUUUCUACCUUGUUGCUCUCUAUAUUUGGACUGUUGAUGUUGUCACCAUGGUAAUGACUAAUGGCUCAGCCCUACACACUCAAUCCAGCCAGUGGAAAGAGGAGAGAAGUAUGGAGAAAUAGUAUACCUUCUUACAUCCCAAUGACUUGUACGUCCUUAUGUGCCCAGACCUGGCUGCAACAGAGAUGAAGAGAUGUAGUUUUAUCCUGGGUGGUCAUAUAUCAGAUAAAAUAAAGAACCUCUUAUAAAAAAGUGACAGUGAGUAUUGGAAGAAAGUAAUCUCUGUCACAACUAGCUUCAGCUUUUUCUCCUUGUGUCUAAAUUAGCAAGGAGGAAGUAAAUGUGUCCAUUAAAAUAUUUCUUGAAAUGUCCUAGAUAUGCUCUAGAUAAACACUAUAUUUUAAAUUGAAAUCUUAUUUUUAUUGAAGUAUAGCUUAUUUACAAUAUUUUAUUAGUUUCAAGUGUAUAACAUAGUGAUUUAAUAUUUUUGUAGAUUAUACUACAUUUAAAGUUAUUAUGAAAUAUUGGCUAUAUUCCCCGUGCCACGCAAUACAUCCUUGUAGCUUAGUUAUUUUAUACAUAAUAGUUUGUACCUUUUAACCUCCUACUGCUAUCUGGUCCCUUCCUCUUUCCUCUCCCCACUGGUUUGUUCUUUGACUCUGUAAGUAUAUUUCUUUCUCUCUCUCUCUCUUUUUUUUGCAAUUGAGAAAGUAAAUUUUAAAUUUUAUUUAACUUUUUAAAAAAUUUUAUUGAAGAAUAGUUGAUUUACAAAAUGUAUUAGUUUCAAGUGUACAGCAAAGUGAAUCAAAAUGGUAAAAACUUAAAACAAAAACAAAAACAAAAAAGUGAAUCAGUCAUACAUAUAAAUACAUCCAUUCUUUUUUCACAUAUAAGUUAUUACCAACUAUUGAGUAGAUUUUCCUGUGCUAUACAGCGGGUUCCCAUUAAUCAUCUAUUUUAUAUAGUAGAGUAUAUAUUUUAUUCCCACCUUUCCAAUUCCUCCCUCUCCUCAACAAUUUCACCUAUGGUAACCAUAAGAUUGUUUUUUAAAUCUGAGAUUUUUGUUUGUUUUUGUUUUUGUUUGCCUUUUAGGGCCACACCUACAGUUUAUAGAAGUUCCCAAGCUAGGGGUUGAAUAAGAGCUACAGGUGCCAGCCUAUGCCACAGCCUCAGCAACAUGAGAUUUGAGCAAUGUCUUCGACCUACACCUUGGCUCACAACAAUACUUGAUCCCCAACCCACUGAGCGAGGCCAGGGAUCGAACCUGCAUACUCAUGGAUACUAGUGGUGUUUGUUACUGCUGAGCCACAACAGGAACUCCCUGAUUCUCUUUUUUAAGUAAGUUCUUUUGUAUCAUUUUUAAAAUUAGAUUUCACAUAUAAGUGAUAUCAUAUGAUAUUUGUCUUUCUGUCUGACUCAUCCUCACUCAGUAUGGUAAUCUCUAGGUCCAUCCAUAUUGCUGCAAAUGGCAUUAUUUCACUCUCUUUUGUGGCUGAAUAAUAUUCCAUUGUAUGAAUCUGAGUUUUGUUAUAUUCAUCACCUGUUGCAUUUUUUAGAUUCCACAUGUAAGUAAUAACAAAUCUUAAAAUACAUGGCUAAGGUGAACAUUUUAUAUCGCUUGUUAACAUACAGGCUCUCAACCUUUGAUUCCAUAUAUGAGGGAGAGAAGAGAGGUUCUCUUUGUGGAAGUAACACAAAUGCCUUUCUUUCCCAGACUGAAUAUUAAGCCAUACUGGUACUGGCUGAUAGGGAAGGCUCAGAGCUUCUUUAGGAAGGAGAGUGGACUAGUCUCAGUCAGUAUUUCUAAUCUAGAGACUAAGAUCAUCCAACUCUAGCCCAUACGGACAGCAGCACUCAAAAUUCUAGAGAUGUCAUUUGGCCUUUGCAUCAGUUAACCGUGACCACAAUGAUGCUGUAAUGAUAAGCCACUUUAACACUUAAUGGAUCAAAAACAACAACCACUUAUUUGUCUCACAGUUGUGUGUAUCAGCUAGGCUCUCUCAGGACUCAGCAGCCAGCUCUAGGUCUCAUUCAUGGGUAGCUGGCUCCCAGGCCCAGACCUUGGCUGGGAGAACUGGGGCAUUUGGCUCUGCUCCCCAUGGGCUCUCACUCUCUGCAAGCUGGCAAGGCAGAGUCAGAGUCAAAGUGAGAGAGGAGGUACGUACAAGGGCUGAAACUGGCACACCUUAGAUCCUGGAAUGUUCUAUCAGCAGGAAUGAGUCACAAGUGCAGUUAAGAGUUAAGGGGUAGGAGUAGGAUGGACUGGGAUUUGGGAGUUAGUAGAUGCAAACCAUUGUAUUUGGUGUGGAUAAGCAAUGAGAUCCUGCUGCAUAGCACAGGGAAUUAUAUUUAGCCACUUGUGAUGGAACAUGAUGGGGGAUAAUGUGAGAAAAAGAAUGUAUAUGUAAGAGUUCCCAUUGUGGCUCAGUGGAAAUGCAUCUGACUAGUGUCCAUGAGGACAUGGGUUUGAUCCCUGGCCUUGCUCAGUGGGUUAAGGAUCUGAGGUUACCAUGAGCUGUGUGUAGGUUGCAGAUUCGUCUCGUAUUUGGUGUUGCUGUGGCUGUGCCAUAGGCUGGCAGCUGCAGAUCUGAUUCAACCCCUAGCCUAGGAACUUCCAUAU